rnacentral:rRNA from 1 species
UACCGAGUUUACAACUCCCAAACCCAAUGUGAACGUUACCAAACUGUUGCCUCGGCGGGAUCUCUGCCCCGGGUGCGUCGCAGCCCCGGACCAAGGCGCCCGCCGGAGGACCAACCUAAAACUCUUAUUGUAUACCCCCUCGCGGGUUUUUUUAUAAUCUGAGCCUUCUCGGCGCCUCUCGUAGGCGUUUCGAAAAUGAAUCAAAACUUUCAACAACGGAUCUCUUGGUUCUGGCAUCGAUGAAGAACGCAGCGAAAUGCGAUAAGUAAUGUGAAUUGCAGAAUUCAGUGAAUCAUCGAAUCUUUGAACGCACAUUGCGCCCGCCAGUAUUCUGGCGGGCAUGCCUGUCCGAGCGUCAUUUCAACCCUCGAACCCCUCCGGGGGGUCGGCGUUGGGGAUCGGCCCUCCCUUAGCGGGUGGCCGUCUCCGAAAUACAGUGGCGGUCUCGCCGCAGCCUCUCCUGCGCAGUAGUUUGCACACUCGCAUCGGGAGCGCGGCGCGUCCACAGCCGUUAAACACCCAACUUCUGAAAUGUUGACCUCG